rnacentral:rRNA from 1 species
CCUACGGGAGGCAGCAGUGGGGAAUUUUGGACAAUGGGGGCAACCCUGAUCCAGCAAUGCCGCGUGAGUGAAGAAGGCCUUCGGGUUGUAAAGCUCUUUUGUCAGGGAAGAAACGGUGAGUUCUAAUACAACUUGCUAAUGACGGUACCUGAAGAAUAAGCACCGGCUAACUACGUGCCAGCAGCCGCGGUAAUACGUAGGGUGCAAGCGUUAAUCGGAAUUACUGGGCGUAAAGCGUGCGCAGGCGGUUAUAUAAGACAGAGGUGAAAUCCCCGGGCUCAACCUGGGAACUGCCUUUGUGACUGUAUGGCUAGAGUGUGUCAGAGGGGGGUAGAAUUCCACGUGUAGCAGUGAAAUGCGUAGAUAUGUGGAGGAAUACCGAUGGCGAAGGCAGCCCCCUGGGAUAACACUGACGCUCAUGCACGAAAGCGUGGGGAGCAAACAGGAUUAGAUACCCUGGUAGUCCACGCCCUAAACGAUGUCUACUAGUUGUCGGGACUUAAUUGUCUUGGUAACGNAGCUAACGCGUGAAGUAGCCGCCUGGGGAGUACGGUCGCAAGAUUAAAACCUUAAAGGGAAUUGACCGGNGNGAGAGNGCGACGACGACGACGAGGGAGAGG